UCGAACGAGAAGCUUCUUCGGAAGUGGACAGUGGCAGACGGGUGAGUAACGCGUGGGAAUUUGCCCAGAGGUUCGGAACAACCAUUGGAAACGAUGGCUAAUACCGGAUAAGCCCUUCGGGGGAAAGAUUUAUCGCCUUUGGAUAAGCCCGCGUAAGAUUAGCUAGUUGGUGAGGUAACGGCUCACCAAGGCGACGAUCUUUAGCUGGUCUGAGAGGAUGAUCAGCCACAUUGGGACUGAGACACGGCCCAGACUCCUACGGGAGGCAGCAGUGGGGAAUAUUGCGCAAUGGGGGAAACCCUGACGCAGCCAUGCCGCGUGAGUAACGAAGGCCUUAGGGUUGUAAAGCUCUUUCGCUAGGGAAGAUAAUGACGGUACCUAGUAAAGAAGCCCCGGCUAACUCCGUGCCAGCAGCCGCGGUAAUACGGAGGGGGCUAGCGUUGUUCGGAAUCACUGGGCGUAAAGCGCGCGUAGGCGGAUUGAUUAGUUGGGGGUGAAAUCCCGGGGCUCAACCUCGGAACUGCCUUCAAUACUGUCAGUCUUGAGUUCGUGAGAGGUAAGUGGAAUUCCGAGUGUAGAGGUGAAAUUCGUAGAUAUUCGGAAGAACACCAGUGGCGAAGGCGACUUACUGGCACGAUACUGUCGCUGAGGUGCGAAAGCGUGGGGAGCA
rnacentral:rRNA from 1 species